CCCCUCUCAGGGUCGCACCUGGAGAGUUUCCAGUACUCUACCAGUCUAGGCAAUGGGAGGGAGAGUCAAGCAGAGGCCUACCCAUUCCAUUCCUGGCUUGGCCAGUGACUAGCAAGUGAAAGCAAUCUGCUACAAGU
rnacentral:snoRNA from 1 species